rnacentral:rRNA from 1 species
CAAUAGCGUAUAUUAAAGUUGUUGCAGUUAAAAAGCUCGUAGUUGGAUUUGUGGCGUACGGUGUGUUCCGGGCACUUGUUGUCUGAGUAACCUGCUGUUGCCAUCCUUGGGUGGAACCUGUGUGGCAUUAGGUUGUCGUGCAGGGGAUGCCCAUCAUUUACUGUGAAAAAAUUAGAGUGUUCAAAGCAGGCUUAUGCCGUUGAAUAUAUUAGCAUGGAAUAAUGAGAUAGGACUUUUUUGCUAUUUUGUUGGUUUGGGCAAAGAGGUAAUGAUUAAUAGGGACAGUUGGGGGUAUUCGUAUUCCAUUGUCAGAGGUGAAAUUCUUGGAUUUUUGGAAGACGAACUACUGCGAAAGCAUUUACCAAGGAUGUUUUCAUUAA